UUUCCUUUUCUUCCAUCACGGCCAUUUAUAAGACUUCUAGUUUUUAGCUAUAGGGCAAGGCCGAACCCCAACGCUCUCUCUCUCUCUCGAUUCGAAAAGAAGCCCGUUACCGCACUGUCUAUCGCCGCCGCUAUGUCUCAGGUGGAUAACAGAAAUUCCUCCGCGGCCAAGCGUGCUAGAACUGAUGGUAGUAGAAGAGAAGAUGAUUGGACAUGUCCUAGUUGUGGCAAUGUCAAUUUUUCAUUUAGGACAACUUGUAAUAUGCGCAAUUGUACUCAACCCAGGCCAGCAGAUCAUAAUUCAGUAAGUCAACCAUACUAACUAUAUACGA